rnacentral:rRNA from 1 species
AUUGAACGCUAGCGGGAUGCCUUACACAUGCAAGUCGAACGGAGUGGCGAACGGGUGAGUAAUGUAUCGGAACGUGCCCAGUAGCGGGGGAUAACUACGCGAAAGCGUAGCUAAUACCGCAUACUAUUGGAGCGGCCGAUAUCGGAUUAGCUAGUUGGUGGGGUAAAGGCUAACCAAGGGGACGAUCCGUAGCUGGUUUGAGAGGACGACCAGCCCAACGGGGAAUGGGACACGGCCCAGACUCCGCAGGGAUGCAGCAGGGGGGAAUUUUGGACAAUGGGGGAAACGCUGAUCCAGCCAUCCCGCGUGUGCGAUGAAGGCCGUCGGGUUGUAAAGCACUUUUGGCAGGAAAGCGGUACCUGCAGAAUAAGCACCGGCUAACUACGUGCCAGCAGCCGCGGUAAUAC